GAGCAUCUUGUAUUAUUAAGUUGGUGCUUUCAUUGGAAUGAUAUUAAUAUACAAACCCUUUUAAUAUCACUGUAGUUUUGAACGAAGAAGCCUUCUAGUUCCUUAAUGCUCACCAUGGAUUAUGUGAUCUAGGCGUCCAGUCUAAGGAUUCCAUGUGGGCACAAGGCCUUUUGAUCUGUCCACCUGAGGUUUAGGGAACUUGGUAAAAUUUUAAGUACAGAUGAAAAUGCUGGUUUUGGUGCUAAAUCUACAGGUACUGCUUCAAGAUACCUGACAACUACCCAUUAGCUUCAGCAGCACCUUUGCUAUGUGCUGGAAUUACUGUUUACACUCCCAUGAUGCGCCACAAGAUGAACCAACCUGGUAAAUCCCUCGGGGUGAUUGGGCUAGGUGGUCUUGGUCACUUGGCUGUGAAGUUUGGCAAGGCUUUUGGAUUGCGUGUCACAGUUCUCAGCACAAGCAUAUCCAAGAAAGAAGAAGCUCUGAAUCUGCUUGGAGCAGACAAAUUUGUGGUCUCAUCAGACGAACAGCAGAUGAUGGUAAAAAUCCAUCCGACUUCCUAUUGUGCAUGGUUUGCCUUGAUAUCGCAAGCAAGAAUGAAGAUGAUUCAUUCAUUGGCUUUUCAUAAAUUGAUGGUUACUAUCUUGUAUGCAGGCUCUUUCUAGAUCACUCGACUUUAUAAUUGAUACUGCAUCAGGUGAUCACCCAUUCGAUCCAUACUUGUCUCUGUUGAAGACUGCCGGAGUCCUAGUUCUGGUGGGGUUCCCAAGUGAAGUGAAAUUCAGUCCUGGAAGCAUUGUCAUGGGUAAUUCUGGCUCUGAAACUUUCUAAUUUAAAAUAGUUACUUGUGAUUGUGCAUUGGUUCAAUUAUCAUAGCCUAGAUAAGUCGGAAUACUCUCAGCUUAUUGAGACUCUAUGAAUCGACCACCCUGCAGGUAUGAGAACUGUUUCUGGUAGCGCUACAGGUGGUACAAAAGAUACACAAGAAAUGCUUGACUUUUGUGCUGCACAUGGAAUUCACCCAGAGAUCGAAGUAAUUCCAAUUCAGUAUGCAAAUGAAGCCCUUGAGAGGCUAAUAAAGAAGGACGUGAAGUACCGUUUUGUGAUUGAUAUUGAAAACUCUCUGAAGUGAUCCAUAGAGGCAGAAGAGGACGUUCUUUUCUCAGACUACAUGUUUGUUGGCUGAAAGCAGAUAAAAAUUGUCAAUCCUUUAUAGAUGCACAGUGGAUGUUUAAUCUUAUGGAAAAAAUAUCCAGGAUCGAACCUUUGUGUUAUGUCAGUGAAGAAAUUACUUUCCAUGUACAUAUACUUCUGUUGGUAUCUAUUUUGGAUAAUGUUCUUCCACAGACAAAAGAACUCACAUCAAGAGUUUUAGAAUCUGCACUGGAAUAAUUGCAUAGACACUUCUAUUUGAUAACAAUGUGAGUGUUGCCUCAUUGGAAAAGAUCUAUUUUUAAGGGUAUGUUUGAUUCAAAAACUUGAGGGAAAUUGUAAGGAAAAUAAAAUAUAGAGGAAAAGUAAAGGAAAAGAAAAUGUGAACGAAAAUAAAAAGUAGAUUUACGUUAUAUUUGAUUCUAGGAAAGAUAUAAACAUGUUAAAGAAAAAUGAUUUUCUUAUAUUUAGUUAAAAUAAGUGAAAUAAGCUUGGAUUAACAUCAAAUACUAAUUUAUUUAUUUUGAUCAAAGAUUAAAUAAUUUAAAAAAUAUAUACAUUUUUAACUAAUUAUAAUUAUAUUUGAUUUUUUUUCCCUAUUUUUUCGAGUAAAACCAAACAUAAGAAAAAUUAUUUUCCUUUAUAUUUUUAUUUCUUUCUUUUUUUAUUUUCUUGGAACCAAACAUAGCAGCGUUGUGUAAUUGUGUUGGUCUUUAUUCAAUACCUUACAUGCUAGGAGCAUAUGCUUAUAUAUGAAUGCUCUUUACUCGCUUUCAAAUGCCAAAUAUAGCUUCACCAUUAUAUGUUAGAAUCCAACCAAGAUCCUUGUUAUAACUCAACCAAGAUAAAUACCCUAAUUUAUAUAUACUGGAAUAUUUAACAAGGUGAAUACCCUAACUUCAUAUAUACUGGAAUAUUUAAUAAGGUGAAUACCCUAACUUCAUAUAUACUGGAAUAUUUAACAAGGAGAACACCCUAAUGUCAUAUAUAUUGGAAUCUCCUGAUUAAAAACAAUGAGUAGAAAAAUAAUAGCGGAAGCAUACCUGAAUCCAUUGAAGGAGAAACCUUAUAGGAAGAAAACCCUUUGAGAUGGUCUUCCAAUUCUAGCCACUAGAUUCUGUGUCAAUUUCUCUCUGAGAGGAUUUUCAGAAAUUGGAAUGCGUAGUCGUAGAAUGUGGACCAUAACCCUAUUUAUAAACCGCUAGGGCAGUUUUAAUUUUAUCACAAUUAUAUUUCUGCCCCUCAUAGAAAUAAUAAUUGUCUAAUGGUAUCUACACAAUAAUCUCAUGACAAUUAUACCCUUAAGCCAAUUAAUCAAUUAUUAAUUAGAUCACUAUAUUUAGGCUUAAUUAAAUGAUAGCACACACAUUUUAAUUAUUUACAUGUGUGGCCCAAAUUAUAGAUUAAUUACAAAAAUUAAUCUAACAAUCUCCCACUGGGCCACAUGCAUAUGUAAUCAAAUAAAUGUGUUUAACCUUAUGAGCUCAAAAUUUGCUAUCAUGUCCUUAGGGUAUAUCCGAACAAUCUCGUCCAUUAACUAUACUGACAUAGGAUCAAGGUGGCCUUUGUUACAUCAAUCGUUACUAGACCAAUCAAUGGUCACAUAUAUCUGCACAGCUAAAUGACAUAGAUCAAUCAUGAGUGCAUAGCAUGGAAAUUACAUGCAAUGUGAUCUAUUCAUGCAUAUUUCCAACUGGUCCAACUUAACUUUAUUGAGAUCAAAUCUUUAGCAUAAUUUAACAGAGUGCAAUAAAAUGAAUACUUUAUUUCUGCAGAACACAAUCCAAAUGUAUAGAUAAAGUCUAAACAUAACAUAGAGCAAUAUACAAUGAAUAAUACAAACUCCCACUAAAUUUGGAUAUCCUCAAAUGAGACAACACCCAUACGAGCAGUGUGCUCAUGAAAGACCUUGGGUGGUAAUCCCUUUGUAAGCGGAUCCGCUAUCAUGGAGUUUGUUCCAAUAUGCUCUAUGGAUAUCUGUCCACUCUGUACUUUUUCUUUUACAACAAGGAACUUGAUAUCAAUGUAUUUUGAUUUUGUAGAACUCCUGUUGUUAUUGGAAUAUAAAACUGCUGAUUUAUUGUCACAAAAUAUCUUCAGUGGUCUUUCAAUACCAUCCAGAACAUGCGGCCCAGUGACAAAAUUUCGUAGCCAUAUUCCUUGAUUGGAUGCCUCAUAACAUGCUACAAACUCUGCUUCCAUGGUGGAUGAAGUUACGAGUGUCUGUUUGGCAGACCUCCAUGAAAUUGCUCCACCAGCCAAUAGAUAAAUAUAGCCUGAUGUGGAUCUUCUGCUGUCUUGGCAUCCAGCAAAGUCGGAGUCGGAAUACCCAAUCAACUCUAACUGAUCCAAUCUCCUAUAUGUAAGCAUGUACUCUUUUGUUCUCUGUAAAUAUCUCAUAACCCUCUUGGCUGCUCUCCAAUGAUCUAUUCCAGGGUUACUUAGAUAUCUGCCUAACAUGCCAACAAUGUACGCAAUAUCCGGACGUGUACAUACCUGAGCAUACAUUAGACUCCCCACAGCCGAAGCGUAAGGAAUCUUCUGCAUUUCUUGACUUUCUAAACUAUUUUUAGGGCAUUGAUUAAGACUGAAUUUGUCUCCUUUAGCGACAGGGGUAUCACCUGGUUUGCUAUUUUGCAUGCCAUACCUUUGGAGGACUUUAUCAAUAUAGGUCCUUUGUGACAAUCCUAAAAUACCCCUAGAACGAUCUCGCUGUAUCUGGAUUCCUAAGACAAAGGAGGCAUCACCAAGAUCUUUCAUCUCAAAAUGUUUUGAUAAAAAUCUCUUGGUGUCGUGCAAUAUGCUAAUAUCAUUUGUAGCUAGCAAUAUGUCAUCGACAUAUAAAACCAGGAAAAUAUACUUACUCCCACUGAAUUUGUGAUACACACAUUCAUCCAUAAGAUUUGCCUCAAAACCAUAUGAGACAUAAUUUGAUGAAACUUGAAGUACCACUGACGAGAAGCUUGCUUGAGCCCAUAAAUGGNNNNNNNNNNNNNNNNNNNNNNNNNNNNNNNNNNNNNNNNNNNNNNNNNNNNNNNNNNNNNNNNNNNNNNNNNNNNNNNNNNNNNNNNNNNNNNNNNNNNUGUCUUGCAUAUAUUUGUACUCUUCAUUCUUGGCUUCAAUCCAUUUCUGAGAGUUGGAACUUUUCAUGGCUUGCUGGAAGUUGAUUGGAUCAUCUUCCAUCAUUCCACUUUCUACCUCACGUUCCUGGAGAUAUACGAUAUAAUCGUCCGAAAUUGCAUUUCUCCUCUCUCUAGUGGAUCUCCUUAAUGGCAUAUUUUCUUGAGGUUGUUGAGUUUGUUCUUCAGGAGCAAUGUCCUCAUUUGCAAUUAAUGGUUGAACAAUAUUGUCUGUUGGUUGAGGAUCCAAAUUUACUUCUUGAUCAAUGAUAGGUAGUGAAACCUGUACAUUAUCAAAAGCAAUAGUAGAUCCCUCUUCCUCCUCAAAGACAAUAUUCCUAGCCUGAUUUCUCCCCCCAAACUCAACAUCCUCAAAAAAUGUUGCAGUUCCCGUCUCAAAAAUUGACCUAAUAGCAGGAUCAUAAAAUUUAAAACCCCUUGAUCGCUCUGCAUAGCCAAUAAAGUAGCUGCUAACUGUUUUAGAGUCCAAUUUCUUUUCAUGAGGCUUAUAAGGUCUCGCUUCAGCUGGACAUCCCCAAAUAUGAAAAUGCUUUAAACUGGGCUUUCGACCCGUCCAAAGCUCAUAAGGCGUUUUAGCAGUCGCUUUAGUUGGCACCCGAUUGAGAAUAUAAGCUGCCGUUUUGAGUGCUUCACCCCAGAGUUUUUCGGGUAAAGUAGAAUGACUAAUCAUACUCCUUACCAUGUCCUUAAGGGUUCGGUUUCGUCUUUCUGCUACACCAUUCAUGCUAGGUGAUCCUGGCAUGGUGUAUUGAGGGACGAUCCCACAUUCCUCUAGGUAUUUAGCAAAUGGUCCUGGAUGUUGUUCACCUGAUCCGUCAUAUUUACCAUAGUAUUCACCACCACGGUCAGAUCUGACGCUCUUUAUCCUUUUGUUGAGUUGUAACUCAACUUCUGCUUUAAAUGUUUUGAACACGUCCAAUGAUUGUGAUUUCUCAUGUAUAAGAAAUAGGUAGCUAUAUCUUGAGUAGUCGUCUAUGAAUGUUAUAAAGUACUGUUGACCAUUCCAAGAUGCCGUAGGGUAUGGUCCACAGAUAUCUGUAUGAAUUAAUUCUAAGACGUCUGUAGCUCUAUUGGCACCUAAUUUCUUUGUUUUGGUAUGUUUUCCUUUAAUACACUCAACACAAAUAUCAAAAUCUGAAAAGUCAAGUGAAUCCAAAAUCCCAUCGGACACAAGUCGCUCAACUCUAGAUUUAGAGAUAUGACCUAGGCGUUUGUGCCACAAUGAGGCCAAAUUAUCUUUAUUCAAUUUACGUUUUGUACCUCGUGAUUCCACAUGCAAGGUUUCAUUAUAGGACGGAACAGUUUCCAACAAAUAUAGAUUAUCAUAAACAUUAAGUAAACCGGUUCCUACAGCAUUUGAAUUAAUAGAUAAUGUAAAUUUAUUGUUUCCAAAUGAACAACAAUAACCUGAUUUGUCCAAAACAGAAACUGAAAUUAAAUUCCGUCUGAAAGACGGUACAAUAAAAGUAUCUAUUAAAUCCAAAAAAUAACCAGAUUUCAAUAAUAAUCUAAAGUGCCUUAUUGCCUCUACUUCUACCGACUGACCGUCUCCGACAUAGAUGCAUCUUUCAGCAUCACUUGGUUUUUGGUAACUCAGGCAACCCUGCAUAGAAACACAAAUGUGAGUAGUAGCACCAGAAUCUAACCACCAUGUGUUUCUAGAUACUGAAGCUAAAUUAACUUCAGAACAGACCAAAGUAAGAAACAUACCUUUCUUAACCCGCCAAGCAGCAUACUUGGUACAUUCCUUCUUAGUAUGUCCAGGCUUAUUACAGAAGAAACAUGUUACCUCAACUUUCUAUUUCUUUUGUUCUGGACCAUUAGAAGCAGCAACCUUAUUAUCCUUAUUUUUUCGUUUGCCCUUAUCCUUAGAAGUGCUAGCCAGAUGAGCACUUUCGGUCUUGUCUUGCUUCAAUCUCUCUUCCUCUUGCACACAGAAUGAAAUGAGCUCAUUAAGAGUCCAUUUAUCCUUUUGACAGUUAUAACUGACCUUGAAUUGAUUAAAUUGUGCAGGAAGAGAGAUGAGAACCAAAUGCACGAGUAAAUCAUCAGAUAACUCGAGUUUCAAAGCCUUAAGUUUUGAAGCAAGAUGAGACAUCUCCAUGAUGUACUCCCGAACAUUACCCUUGCCUUUAUACUUCAUUGAAAUCAAGCUUGCUAAAAGCGUGCUCGUUUCAGCCUUAUCGUUUUUGGCAAAACGUUUCUGAAUUUCCGCAAGGAAGUCACUGGCAUUAGUAACCUCAUCGGUUACCGCACCCCUGAAAGCUUCUGGAAUGCCGCGCUUCAUGAUCAUAAGACUUAGCCUAUUUGAACGUUCCCACUUACCCCAAUAAACCUCAUCCUCUUGAGUACUUUGCUCAUUGAGUUCAUCAGGUUUGGGCAUUCUCAAGGCCAAGUCUAUAUCCAUGCAGCCUAAGAGAAUCAUCAUAUUCUCUUUCCAGUCCUUAAAAUUAGUCCCAUUUAACAUAGGGACAUUAUUGAUGUUGGCAGAUAUAGAAGUAGUUGAUAUAAAAGCUGAAUCGAGAACAAAAUAAAAUGAAUCAAAUAAACCAUCAUGCUCACAUAAAAUAAGCAAUUAAACACAUAAUCUUUAAAUUUAAAAGCAAAUUAUGACAUUUCAAGAUACCUAGCACAACAUUAAUAUCAAGUCUUUGGACAGUAAUAUUAACUGUAAGUGGUACUCUUGUUGUAGUGAUCAAACAUUGAUGAUAAGUUAUGUCAAAUAAUAAAUCUAUCUUUGGAUUGAUUUAUUAUUCACAUUAAGUUACCUUUAUAAUCAUCACAUAUUUAUCGCCACAAGUAUGUAUGCAAUUUGACCAAAUAUUAACUUUCCUUUGGGUCAGUCAAUACCCGCAUGAAUCACAUACACACAAAUAUCUAACACCCCGAACAGACUAAUCUACACGGAAGAUGUCACUUUGGUGAUUUUUCGCUUUAAUUAGCCUAUUUAAAAUGCUAGAUCAAUAACUUAAAUAUUAAUAUCAUAAAAUGCUAUUAAAUAAUAAUAAUAAUAAUAGUAAUAAAAAAAAAAAAUUUAUCAACUCAAUAUUUCAUAAAUCUUAAUCCAUUGACAUAUAUUAAAAUAAUAACUCAAAGAAUUAAUCAAGGAGUAGGCUCUGAUACCACUUGUUAGAAUCCAACCAAGAUCCUUGUUAUAACACAACCAAGAUAAAUACCCUAAUUUAUAUAUACUGGAAUAUUUAACAAGGUGAAUACCCUAACUUCAUAUAUACUGGAAUAUUUAAUAAGGUGAAUACCCUAACUUCAUAUAUACUGGAAUAUUUAACAAGGAGAAUACCCUAAUGUCAUAUAUACUGGAAUCUCCUGAUUAAAAACAAUGAGUAGAAAAAUAAUAGCGGAAGCAUACCUGAAUCCAUUGAAGGAGAAACCUUAUAGGAAGAAAACCCUUUGAGAUGGUCUUCCAAUUCUAGCCACUAGAUUCUGUGUCAAUUUCUCUCUGAGAGGAUUUUCAGAAAUUGGAAUGCGUAGUCGUAGAAUGGGGACCAUAACCCUAUUUAUAAACCGCUAGGGCAGUUUUAAUUUUAUCACAAUUAUAUUUCUGCCCCUCAUAGAAAUAAUAAUUGUCUAAUGGUAUCUACACAAUAAUCUCAUGACAAUUAUACCCUUAAGCCAAUUAAUCAAUUAUUAAUUAGAUCACUAUAUUUAGGCUUAAUUAAAUGAUAGCACACACAUUUUAAUUAUUUACAUGUGUGGCCCAAAUUAUAGAUUAAUUACAAAAAUUAAUCUAACAUUAUACCUUUUCAAUCAAGCUCAAACCAUCAUUAUCUAGAAUCUAUAUAAGCCCUUUACCACAAGAAUUUACAGGUACUGCUUCAAGAUACCUGACAACUACCCAUCAGCUUCAGCAGCACCUUUGCUAUGUGCUGGAAUUACUGUUUACACUCCCAUGAUGCGCCAUAAGAUGAACCAACCUGGUAAAUCCCUCGGGGUG
rnacentral:lncRNA from 1 species